UCAGGCAAUUUAAGUCCUCUUGACACACUGUUAGAACGAUGAUGUUUAUUAAAGAGGAGAGAGAAGAUAUGGAUACUGAAGGAACAUUCAGAGUCAAGCAUGAAGAUACUGAGGAACAAACAGACUUGAUGUCACCAAAAAGGGAGUGUCAAGAAUUCAAUGAAAAGGAUGAUGAAUAUCAGAAUGAAAAGCAUCAAUAUUUCAAAACUGGAGAAAAAUCAUUUAGCUGCUCACAGACUGAAAAGACACAAAAAAGAGCACAUAAGACAGCAGAUGGAAGUUAUCUCACCUGCCAACAGUGUGGAAAGAGUUUAAAAAGAUUUGGAAACCUUAAAUCCCACAUGAGAACUCACACUGGAGAAAAGCCUUAAACAUGUAAACUGUGUGGAACAAGCUUCAGUCGAAAAUCAAGCCUUAAAAACCACAUGAGAACUCACACUGGAGAGAAGCCUUUCACAUGUUCUCAAUGUGAAAGGAGCUUUGCACAUAAACAAAACUUUGAUGUGCACAUGAGAAUCCACUCUGGAGAGAAACCUUACACAUGCAAAACAUGUGGUAAGAAAUUCAUUCGAAAAUCAAACCAUAAAAGCCACAUGAGAGUUCACAGUGAAGAGAAACCUUACACAUGUACUCAAUGUGGAAAAUGUUUUACAUAUAAAAAUAACCUUGAUGUCCA